AAGAGCCGUAUGAAUCGAGAGGUUCACGUACGGUUCUGUGAGAGUCUUUGGGUGAAAUUCCCAUUGGCUACUCGAC
rnacentral:ncRNA from 1 species